GCUCCCGUAGCUCAGCGGAACCAGAGCACGCGCGUCCUAAGCGCAAGGUCGCAGGUUCGAAUCCUGCCGGGGGCU
rnacentral:tRNA from 3 species